ensembl:lncRNA
CGCGGGCUGGGGACCCCAGCCGUCUCAGCGUGCCCAGACUGGGGAGAGCGCGGCUUGCGGCCGCCCGGAGACCGAUCUAGGUUGGGAGGGAUGGGAGGGAUCCUUUUCGGAUAGAAAGGGGCAAGCCCGCCAUCCUGGGAUCCCCCCAGGCACUCAGGUUCCUUUGGGGAGCGUGGAUUCUUGGGCCAUGCAGCAGGCCCUUGCAGUGGCGCUUUAGGGAGGAGCACGCACGUGGAGCGUUCCCUGGGAGCAUCCUAGUCGGUAUUACCGAGUUUGUCUUCCUCAGGGAGGAGCUACCGUCCCAUCGUCCCUGCACCCUUGCCAAACUAACAGUGGGUCCACAUCUGUUUCUGCCUCAGCAAGCAUGGAAAAUCUGUUGUCGAAAAGAUCUUCCCACAUUGAAGGCUUUUCUCUGUAACUACAUAUUGGGGGUGGAGGGAAUGGGAGGAUUAGGAGUUCACUCCAAGACCAUUGCCAGGUUUGGAUCAGUUGGCCGUAAAAGAAGCCAAAUAAGAUGCUAUCUGUGAAUUACUGAUGAAACUAGCUACAUGUGGGAAACACGGACUCGAAAGCGGGAAAAACUGCUGUAUGGAAGGGACUGCUCUGGAAUCUCACCAAUCAUAACUACCUUAGUGACUGAACUGUGUUUCCCUCCUCCAAAACUCUCCCUUGCACCUCAUGACAGGCCUGCAUUUCUCAAAGAGCUAAUUCCACAUUUUUCCAGGGAGAUGUGAAACCUUACUGUGUGGUAAAUCCCACAAACAGGCCCAUUUUUCACCAAUUAAUCUUUGCCCACAGCCAAGACCAUUUUUGUAUAUGGUCAUAGUUCACAUGCAUAGCAGAAAUCACAGUGAAAUUAGCACAAGAAUUGGACCAAGAUGAAAAAAGACCAGAAUUUUUGUCUGCCUCUUAGAUAAAGGAAAAAAUAUGUAAUAGAGUUUUCAAAUUAAUUACUCAAAUGCUUGCCCUAAGAGAUGAAAAUCCAUGGGGUCUUUUUUUUCACCAGGACAGUUGAAAUUCUUUUUAAAAAUAUCUCAUUUCAACAGAACUCUGCAAAUACAUUUUAAAAUGUAUUUAAAAAUAAACAGGACUCAUCAUUACCAGUCAAAGAGUAAAUUAGGAAGCUUGAUGGAUACAUUUUGAGCUUGUACAGAAGGGUAUGGCAAGCUAGUGUCAGCAUCACUGAAAUGCCCAUUAUAAAUUCUCAUUGGAAAUAAUAAAUUGCUCU